rnacentral:rRNA from 1 species
GACGAACGCUGGCGGCGUGCCUAAUACAUGCAAGUUGAGCGCUGAAGGUUGGUACUUGUACCGACUGGAUGAGCAGCGAACGGGUGAGUAACGCGUGGGGAAUCUGCCUUUGAGCGGGGGACAACAUUUGGAAACGAAUGCUAAUACCGCAUAAAAACUUUAAACACAAGUUUUAAGUUUGAAAGAUGCAAUUGCAUCACUCAAAGAUGAUCCCGCGUUGUAUUAGCUAGUUGGUGAGGUAAAGGCUCACCAAGGCGAUGAUACAUAGCCGACCUGAGAGGGUGAUCGGACACAUUGGGACUGAGACACGGCCCAAACUCCUACGGGAGGCAGCAGUAGGGAAUCUUCGGCAAUGGACGAAAGUCUGACCGAGCAACGCCGCGUGAGUGAAGAAGGUUUUCUGAUCGUAAAACGCUGUUGGUAGAGAAGAACGUUGGUGAGAGUGGAAAGCUCAUCAAGUGACGGUAACUACCCAGAAAGGGACCGCUAACUACGUGC